rnacentral:rRNA from 1 species
CAGUAGCCACGGGAAUACGAAGGGUGCAAGCGUUACUCGGAAUUACUGGGCGUAAAGCGUGCGUAGGUGGUGGUUUAAGUCCGUUGUGAAAGCCCUGGGCUCAACCUGGGAAUUGCAGUGGAUACUGGGUCACUAGAGUGUGGUAGAGGAUAGCGGAAUUUCCGGUGUAGCAGUGAAAUGCGUAGAGAUCGGAAGGAACAUCUGUGGCGAAGGCAACUAUCUGGGCCAACACUGACACUAAGGCACGAAAGCGUGGGGAGCAAACAGGAUUAGAUACCCGUGUAGUCCCUGUCUCUUAUAA